CUGUAUCAUCAACAUAUGACUUUCCAGUUAGAGCUCUGGGAAUUUCCUCAUCAAUAAACGAAGUUGUUUCGAUUGUCGAGGGUUUUUGGAGGAGACACCGAUAACGUUUUCCAGCAUCGACUCACCAGGAUCUCCGGCGGCCAGAACAUUAUACCCAUUCUCAGGUGAAAUUUCACCUUCUUCGAACUCAACAUCUUCAUUAUCCUUCUUCAUCCAGGUAUUGGAGAUAUCAUCCUCGUCAUCAGAUUCAUCCGAAUCUUAUAAGAUGUCCUUACGGGAGAUUUGAAACGGGUGUCAAUCCUAAUAGUAUUCCACGAUCCCUACCUUGCAUGAAUUAACACCAGCGAAAAUGGGUCUUGAAGUGGUUGCCAAUAAUGGUAAGGUUAUCUGAGGACAACAUAUACAAUGGGAAACCAAUGAUUUUGAUCCAGACCAGCCUCUCGAAUCUUACCUUGUCAAAUCCAUCUGCCUUUAGCCAUUUGAACCACUUUACCCACAGAUUUUUUUUUUUUCAGAUAGGAAAUCAUUUGCACGAACAGAAGAUUCACAAUUUAACAUAACUAACAUACCUCCAAGGUAGAAAAUCUUCAUCCCUAGUACACCAUCGACUUUAAAGAUUCUUGUUAGAUUACGAAGGUUCUCCAAACUUUGAACUUCCCCCAUAAGUGCUUCUUUGGCGAAGAAUUCAUUUUUCUCAACCCACUCUCUAAUAUGAAUGACAUUUUCACAGGGAGGAGCAUGAUGAGUGAGAGAUAGGUUGAAACCUUUAAAUACAUCUACGAAGGAUCUCUGGUUGGAAGUGAAUCUGUCCAUGAGUGGUUUAUUGUUGUUUGGAAAUCCUGCUGACAGUCUAUGAGAGGUGGUGAAUCCUCUACCCAGAUUUGAUUUCCUGAGAAAUCUGGCGACAUAGCAUGAUAUUAUACUAUCACCGUAUUUCACUCUCCCAAUCACUUCGUUUCCAGAUCAGCCACCAGAGCAACCACGAACCACCACACCACAACCAGAGUACUCUCCGGUGAGAACGAAGAGAGAGAAAGAAGAGAGGGACAGAAGAAGGCUGAGAGAGAAGAAAUCGGUCAAGAAGCCCUGGGCGUUGCGUCUGGUCGUCGGCACCACGAUCCAUCACGAAAACGACGAACCACGACCGACCGGGGUGGUGUGUACGGCCGUUGUUCAUGGUCACGUAGACCACGAUCGGGUUCAUGGUCCGUAUACCUUACGACCUAACUUCAAGCGCAUUUUUCAAGAGCGAUUAGAAAAGUAUUUGAUUAUCGGGGAUGUGUGGGUCAUGUAAUACAUAUGUUAAGGGUCAACUACUAAAGGGUCAAUUUUUCAACCAAUUAUAUAAAUAUUCAACAUCCAACAGAUAUUCCAUUAUAUAAGGACGACCUACAGACAAUAAAACCAUUUCAAAAGGAUCACCUUGAGGGGAACGUUUGAAUUUAGAAAAUGGUAUGUUACAUUUAUAAGUAGUCUUUCGUGUAGCUAUUUCACUUGUGGUUAUAGAAUUUGUAAAGGAAUUAAUGCCAUUUUCCUAUCAGAUUUAGUUGAGCAUAAAUAUAAGUUGGUGUUAGUCGUUUAGUACGCUUGAAAUAGCUCAAAUAAAAGUCAAUUUAUGACAGAGUUUACGGU